rnacentral:tRNA from 1 species
GAGGAUGUAGGUCAGUGGUAGACACGUGCUUCACAUGCAUGAGACACUGGGUUUAAACUCUAGCAUCUUCU